AGUGGAGGGAGAUCCAAAGAGGAAGUGAAAAGAUGAAACUUAGAAGUUUGUUGCCAAAAUUUGGCAGAGAUUGGCACAGUGACGAGAUUUAAGGAAAGGGUUGGAGAGGCCUUUGUCCUGGCGUGGGUUGGACCUGAAAUAACUCAGCAUGAUGUUAGUAAUUCGGCAAAGAAGCCUUUAAGGAUGAGGUACCCAAGACUACACGUGUCACGCCUGGGACUAGGGCUCGACUCCACCAUUUUGCAUCUAGUGGGGAGCUGUAGUUCAUGGAUGCUGCCAUUACUGCUGCUGCUGGGGAGGGAAAUUCAUGGCCCAGUAAUCUUCACCUGGAGGCGUCUCUCAUGGAACAUCACUCGCUCGCACUUGUAACACAGAUGGAAUGGUCGCGGUUUAUAAUGUGAAUUCUGUAUGCGCCCUCUCCGUUAGCUUUGUAGAGGUCAGGAGGUACGCAGUUCUGCCAUUGGUCGCCGUACGAUCAUCUCUCAUGCUGUGACAUUUUGCUUUUAGUAGACGCAGUAACUUCAGUAACUUAUCUAUCUAUCUUUAUUCAUUAUUUAUCUAUUUAUUUUCUUGUGCGUAUGUAUCCCCUGCCUCCUCGAACCAGCGGCGUGAAAUGGGUCUGGUAUUA